CCCCCCCCCCCCCCCCCCCCCCCCCCCCCCCCCCCCCCCCCCCCCCCCCCCCCCCCCCCCCCGUGAGGAGCUCAGGUGAAGGGCUCAGUGGCUCUGUCCGCGUGUCCGUGGCUCUGUCCGUGGCUCUGUCCGUGUGUCUGUGGCUCUGUCCGUCUGUCACUUCCAGAAGAGCACGUUCCAGAGCAGCAGCCAGCAGGGGUAGGCGCCCAGGCAGAGCAGGGGGCUCAGGUGAGCCCCGUGCAGGUGCUCCUGCAGCAGCCCCUGGCCCAGCGCCCCCAGGAAGCGCUGCCAGCCCUCGGCCAGCCCGGCCGGCGCCUCCAGCAGCUCCUGCUGCAGCAGCACGGCCACGAACAGCGACAGCCCCGGCGUGGUGAGGAUGAGGAGAAGGGCCAGCGGCAGCCUGGGACAGGGAGAGGGGUCAGUGACCACUGAGACCACCCUGGGACCACCCUGGGACCACCCUGGGACCACCCUGGGACCACCCUGGGACCACCCUGGGACCACCCUGGGACCACCCUGGGACCACCCUGGGACCACCCUGGGACCACCCUGGGACCACCCUGGGACCACCCUGGGACCACCCUGGGACCACCCUGGGACCACCCUGGGACCACCCUGGGACCACCCUGGGACCACCCUGGGACCACCCUGGGACCACCCUGGGACCACCCUGGGACCACCCUGGGACCACCCUGGGACCACCCUGGGACCACCCUGGGACCACCCAGGGACCAGCCAGGGACCACCCAGGGACCACCCAGGGACCCCCAGGAACAGCGACAGGCUGGGGGUGGUGAGGAUGAGGAGAAGGACCAGGGGCAGCCUGGGACAGGGGGACCACUGAGACACCUGAGAUCAUCCUGGGACAGCCCUGGGUCUCACCUGUCCCCCCAGGUCUCACCUGUCCCAGGUGAGUCUCACCUGUCCCCUCCAUGUCCCAUCUGUGCCAAGUGAGUCUCACCUGUCCCCCCAAGCCCCACCUAUGCCAGGUGAGUCUCACCUGUCCCUGUCCCACCUGUCCCAUGUCUCAUCUGUCCCCCUAUGUCCCACCUGUCCCAGGUAAGUCUCACCUGUCCCAUAUCCCACCUGUCCCACGUGAUUCUCACCUGUCCCAUAUCCCACCUGUCCCACGUGAUUCUCACCUGUCCCCCCAUGUCUCACCUGUCCCAUGUCUCAUCUGUCCCCCUGUCCCACCUGUCCCAGGUAAGUCUCACGUGUCCCAUAUCCCACCUGCCCCAGGUGAGUCUCACCUGUCCCAUAUCCCACCUGUCCCAGGUGAGUCUCACCUGUCCCCCCAUGUCCCACCUGUCCCAGGUGAGUCUCACCUGUCCCAUAUCCCACCUGUCCCAGGUGAGUCUCACCUGUUUCCUCCAUGUCUCACCUGUCCCCCCAUGUCUCACCUGUCCCAUGUCUCAUCUGUCCCCCUGUCCCACCUGUCCCAGGUAAGUCUCACGUGUCCCAUAUCCCACCUGCCCCAGGUGAGUCUCACCUGUC
rnacentral:lncRNA from 12 species